GUCAGGAUGGCCGAGCGGUCCAAGGCGCUGCGUUCAGGUCGCAGUGCGGUCUUCCGGGCGUGGGUUCGAAUCCCACUUCUGACA
rnacentral:tRNA from 1 species